rnacentral:rRNA from 1 species
CCUACGGGGGACAGCAGUGAGGAAUAUUGGUCAAUGGCCGGAAGGCUGAACCAGCCAAGUCGCGUGAGGGAAUAAGGCCCUAUGGGUCGUAAACCUCUUUUGUCAGGGAGCAAAGGCGUCCACGUGUGGACGAGAGGAGAGUACCUGAAGAAAAAGCAUCGGCUAACUCCGUGCCAGCAGCCGCGGUAAUACGGAGGAUUCGAGCGUUAUCCGGAUUUAUUGGGUUUAAAGGGUGCGUAGGCGGAGUGUCAAGUCAGCGGUAAAAUUUCGGGGCUCAACCCCGUCGUGCCGUUGAAACGGACGCCCUUGAGUGAGUGAGAGGUAAGCGGAAUGCGUGGUGUAGCGGUGAAAUGCAUAGAUAUCACGCAGAACUCCGAUAGCGAAGGCAGCAUACCGGCGCCCAACGGACGCUGAAGCACGAAAGCGUGGGUAUCGAACAGGAUUAGAUACCCUUGUAGUC